rnacentral:misc_RNA from 1 species
GUGAAUCAUCGAAUUUUUGAACGCAUAUUGCACUCUCUGGUAUUCCGGAGAGUAUGCCUAUUUGAGGGUCAUUUGAAAUAAUAUAAAUUCCAAUAUUUCUCGGAAUUUAAAAUGGGUUGUUCAUUUUUUGUGGUCGCCUAAAAUCCAAGACAAGCUCAUUUUCUUGGGUUGCGUGAUACUUUCAGUUAUCUCUUGACUUAACAAGGAAUCAUCGGUCGUGUUAUGAAUUUUGCAAGUGAUAAUAAAUUCUAUAGAUUAAUCUUAUUCGAUAUAUAAAUCGAAUCAUGACGUCA